CAUCGACCAGGGCUGACCAACACACACAUACACAGCGUUCUCUACCUGCCUCCGGUCUGUCUUCUUAAAAGGCCCUACCUGGUUCCCAGUGCCUUCCCCUUCUCUGAACUCAAAAUACUUCUGGAUGCAGACAUUUCACUUAGAAGUUUUGUGCUAUUCGCCUGGGAUCAUACAGCGAUCUCACUCUGUCAUCAGGCUGGAGUGCAGUGGUUAAUCACAGCUCAUUACAGUCUCGACCUGAUGUGCUCAAGCAAUCCUCCCACCUCAGCCUGCCAGUUAGCUGGGACUACAGAUACUUUGAUAAGUACUAAAGUACAAAACAUUAUGGUUUGAAGAUUUAACAGUGGAAUUUCUUGCAACUGCCAGGAGGGAAAUGAGACAUGGAAACUGAAGCUCAGAGAGGUUAAGUCGCUCACUUCAGAUCCCGCAUUGAGAAGUAGAGAAGGCUGUUUUUUUUUUUAAAGGUAUAGUCAACCUUUGGUUUUAUUAAAAGGGUCAGCAAACUUUUUCUUUAAAGAGCCAAACAGUAAAUAUUUUUUUUUGAGAAGGCUGGUUUUUGAACUUCAUUUACUGUUUGUGUGUUUUUACUGUGUAUUACAUGUAUUUUUUCUUGUUACUUUUUUCAGAACAUGGGUCACCUUUUUAUGUGCAGCUGUUUAUUUUUCAUUAAAUGGUGUCUUUACAUUUAUCAACAGACAUUUUAUAUUCAUUUAGACUUCAUUUACUGGCC
rnacentral:lncRNA from 13 species